UACGUAGGGUGCGAGCGUUAAUCGGAAUUACUGGGCGUAAAGCGUGCGCAGGCGGUUCGUUAAGUUCGUUGUGAAAGCCCCGGGCUCAACCUGGGAACUGCAAUGGAAACUGGCGGGCUUGAGUGUGGCAGAGGGGGGUGGAAUUCCGCGUGUAGCAGUGAAAUGCGUAGAGAUGCGGAGGAACACCGAUGGCGAAGGCAAUCCCCUGGGCCUGUACUGACGCUCAUGCACGAAAGCGUGGGGAGCAAACAGG
rnacentral:rRNA from 1 species